AACGCACAUUGCACCUUUUGGUAUUCCGAAAGGUAUGCUUGUUCGAGCGUCGUUUAUACCAUAUCAAUUCAAUUAUUGAAUGUAUUGAAGGACUUGUGCUUUCUUGCAAAACACACCUUCCGAAAUGAUUGAGCGAUCUUGAUUAGACUUGUUUAACGCAUUAAGAUAACUAUCGUUAGAAGAGGAAAUCAAAUGGUCUGCCAUACCAAACCGUCGAAACCGAAGUAAUUCAGUUUCACAACCCAAUUAUAUUAAAUCGACCUCGGAUCAAGUAGGAUUACCCGCUGAACUUAA
rnacentral:misc_RNA from 4 species